UACGGAGGGUGCAAACGUUGCUCGGAAUCAUUGGGCGUAAAGCGCACGUAGGCGGGCCAUCAAGUCGGUUGUGAAAUCCCUCGGCUUAACCGAGGACGUGCAUUCGAAACUGAUGGCCUUGAGUACGAAAGAGGAUCGCGGAAUUCCCGGUGUAGAGGUGAAAUUCGUAGAUAUCGGGAGGAACACCAGUGGCGAAGGCGGCGUCUGGGUCGAUACUGACGCUGAGGCACAAGGCCCAGGGGGAGCAAACGGG
rnacentral:rRNA from 1 species